UCUCAUUCCUUUUUUCCCCUUUGGAACAAACUGGUCGUGCCCCUCUAAUCAAAGAAAUGUGAGGUUUGCAAGAGGCUCCAAAUACAUUUCCUGGCAACCAGACAAAAGUAAGUCUACUGAGAAGUUUAUGCAGAGGGAACAUUUCUUGUGUAUACAGUUGUGUCUUGUUCUCAGAUGCCCAUUCCAAAGCAAUUACUGCAUGGGAGAUGCAAAGUGGCUGGAAGAACCUGCUCAUUCUGGGUCUGUAAUGGAGCCUGUGAGGAGCUCAGCUUGCUGGGGUGCCAGCAGGGAGGCAGUGCUGGUGACCCAGGAAAGCCAAGGAACUGUUCCUGUGCACUGCAGGGAGCCUGGAGAUCAUCCAGAAUGGGGGCAGAGUCUGACUCGUGACUUCCCCACAGCCACACACCAGACAAAGGAGGAGGAUGAAGAUGAAGAUCAGGUGCUUCACCUCUCUAUUACUGGCAGGCAGACCUGUCCCCAGUUCUGCAGAGCCAGCUGCAGCCAGCCAGCUCCACAAGCACACUGUGAGGGGUUUCAGGCACUCACAGAGGCUUUGAAAGCACUCUUGGGUGUGCUCCAAUCGUGAGCAAACACUUCAAGGACACCAAUGAGGUUCCCUGCCUCUCAAGCAGCAUGAACCAGUGAUAAAAACUGAAAUAAAACCCUCAAAACAAAGGCA
rnacentral:lncRNA from 1 species